CCUACGGGAGGCUGCAGUGAGGAAUAUUGGUCAAUGGCCGGAAGGCUGAACCAGCCAUGCCGCGUGAAGGUCAGUGCCCUAUGGGCGUUAAACUUCUUUUGUGCGGGAGCAAUAAUGGUCACGUGUGGCCAGACGAGAGUACCGUACGAAUAAGCAUCGGCUAACUCCGUGCCAGCAGCCGCGGUAAUACGGGGGAUGCAAGCGUUAUCCGGAUUUAUUGGGUUUAACGGGUGCGUAGGCGGAAGAUCAAGUCAGCGGUAAAAUUGAGAGGCUCAACCUCUUCGAGCCGUUGAGACUGGUUUUCGUAAGUGAGCGAGAAGGAUGGGGAAUGCGAGGGGGAGCGGUGAAAUGCAUAGAUAUCACGAAGAACUCCGAUUGCGAAGGCAGCAUACCGGCGCUCAACUGACGCUCAUGCACGAAAGUGUGGGUAUCGAACAGGAUUAGAUACCCGUGUAGUC
rnacentral:rRNA from 1 species